rnacentral:rRNA from 1 species
AUUGAACGCUGGCGGAAUGCUUUACACAUGCAAGUCGAGCGGCAGCGCGGCCUUCGGGCUGGCGGCGAGCGGCGAACGGGUGAGUAAUGCAUCGGAACAUGCCCAGUCGUGGGGGAUAACACUUCGAAAGAAGUGCUAAUACCGCAUACGUCCUGAGGGGGAAAGCGGGGGAUCUCAAGACCUCGCGCGAUUGGAGUGGCCGAUGUCAGAUUAGCUAGUUGGUGGGGUAAAGGCCUACCAAGGCGACGAUCUGUAGCUGGUCUGAGAGGAUGAUCAGCCACACUGGGACUGAGAAACGGCCCAGACUCCUACGGGAGGCAGCAGUGGGGAAUGUUGGACAAAGGGGGCAAACCUGAUCCAGCCAUUCCGCGUGAGUGAAGAAGGCCUUCGGGUUGUAAAGCUCUUUCGGCAGGAACGAAACGGUGGGCUCUAACAUAGUCCGCUAAUGACGGUACCUGAAGAAGAAGCACCGGCUAACUACGUG